rnacentral:tRNA from 1 species
UGGUGUAGCUCAGUGGUGAGCACUUGCCUAACAUGCACAACACCCUGGGUUCCAUUCCCAGCACCA